rnacentral:rRNA from 1 species
UACAGAGGUGGCUAGCGUUGUUCGGAAUUACUGGGCGUAAAGGGCGCGUAGGCGGCUUGGUCAGUCCCGUGUGAAAUCCCUCGGCUCAACUGAGGAACUGCACGGGAAACUGCCUGGCUUGAGUUCGGGAGAGGGAAGCGGAAUUCCGGGUGUAGCGGUGAAAUGCGUAGAUAUCCGGAGGAACACCGGUGGCGAAGGCGGCUUCCUGGACCGACACUGACGCUGAGGCGACGAAAGCUAGGGGAGCAAACGGG